CCUACGGGAGGCAGCAGUGGGGAAUAUUGGACAAUGGGCGAAAGCCUGAUCCAGCAAUGCCGCGUGAGUGAUGAAGGCCUUAGGGUCGUAAAGCUCUUUUACCCGGGAUGAUAAUGACAGUACCGGGAGAAUAAGCCCCGGCUAACUCCGUGCCAGCAGCCGCGGUAAUACGGAGGGGGCUAGCGUUGUUCGGAAUUACUGGGCGUAAAGCGUACGUAGGCGGUUAUUCAAGUCAGAGGUGAAAGCCCGGGGCUCAACCCCGGAACGGCCUUUGAAACUAGAUAGCUAGAGUCUUGGAGAGGUCAGUGGAAUUCCGAGUGUAGAGGUGAAAUUCGUAGAUAUUCGGAAGAACACCAGUGGCGAAGGCGACUGACUGGACAAGUACUGACGCUGAGGUACGAAAGCGUGGGGAGCAAACAGGAUUAGAUACCCUGGUAGUCCACGCCGUAAACGAUGAUAACUAGCUGUCCGGGUACUUGGUAUCUGGGUGGCGCAGCUAACGCAUUAAGUUAUCCGCCUGGGGAGUACGGUCGCAAGNUUAAAACUUAAGGAAUUGACGG
rnacentral:rRNA from 1 species